AUUGAACGCUGGCGGCAUGCCUUACACAUGCAAGUCGAACGGUAACAGGUUAAGCUGACGAGUGGCGAACGGGUGAGUAAUGUAUCGGAACGUGCCCAGUCGUGGGGGAUAACUGCUCGAAAGAGCAGCUAAUACCGCAUACGACCUGAGGGUGAAAGCGGGGGAUCGCAAGACCUCGCGCGAUUGGAGCGGCCGAUAUCAGAGUAGGUAGUUGGUGGGGUAAAGGCCUACCAAGCCGACGAUCUGUAGCUGGUCUGAGAGGACGACCAGCCACACUGGGACUGAGACACGGCCCAGACUCCUACGGGAGGCAGCAGUGGGGAAUUUUGGACAAUGGACGCAAGUCUGAUCCAGCCAUGCCGCGUGCGGGAAGAAGGCCUUCGGGUUGUAAACCGCUUUUGUCAGGGAAGAAACGCUCUGGGUUAAUACCUCGGGGUAAUGACGGUACCUGAAGAAUAAGCACCGGCUAACUACGUGCCAGCAGCCGCCGUAACAC
rnacentral:rRNA from 1 species